UUAUUGGAGGGGCAAGUCUGGUGCCAGCAGCCGCGGUAAUUCCAGCUCCAAAAGCGUAUAUUAAAGUUGUUGCAGUUAAAAAGCUCGUAGUUGAACCUUGGGCUUGGCUGGCCGGUCCAUCUUUUUGAUGCGUACUGGACCCAGCCGAGCCUUUCCUUCUGGGUAGCCAUUUAUGGCGAACCAGGACUUUUACUUUGAAAAAAUUAGAGUGUUCAAAGCAGGCCUUUGCUCGAAUAUAUUAGCAUGGAAUAAUAGAAUAGGACGUUAUGGUUCUAUUUUGUUGGUUUCUAGGACCAUCGUAAUGAUUAAUAGGGACGGUCGGGGGUAUCAGUAUUCAGUUGUCAGAGGUGAAAUUCUUGGAUUUACUGAAGACUAACUACUGCGAAAGCAUUUACCAAGGACGUUUUCAUUAAUCAAGAACGAAAGUUAGGGGAUCGAAGAUGAUCAGAUACCGUCGAGUUACUGC
rnacentral:rRNA from 1 species